rnacentral:rRNA from 1 species
GACGAACGCUGGCGGCGUGCUUAACACAUGCAAGUCGAACGAUGAAGCCCAGCUUGCUGGGUGGAUUAGUGGCGAACGGGUGAGUAAUACGUGAGUAACCUGCCUUUAACUCUGGGAUAAGCCUUGGAAACGGGGUCUAAUACCGGAUACGACCAACCCUCGCAUGGGGUGUUGGUGAAAAGGGAUUUUGUACUGGUUUUAGAUGGGCUCACGGCCUAUCAGCUUGUUGGUGAGGUAACGGCUCACCAAGGCGACGACGGGUAGCCGGCCUGAGAGGGUGACCGGCCACACUGGGACUGAGACACGGCCCAGACUCCUACGGGAGGCAGCAGUGGGGAAUAUUGCACAAUGGGCGCAAGCCUGAUGCAGCGACGCCGCGUGAGGGAUGACGACCUUCGGGUUGUAAACCUCUUUCAGCAGGGGAGAAGCGAAAGUGACGGUACCUGCAGAAGAAGCGCCGGCUAACUACGUG